UACGGGGGGGCAAGCGUUGUUCGGAAUUACUGGGCGUAAAGGGCUCGUAGGUGGUCAACUAAGUCGGACGUGAAAUCCCUCGGCUUAACCGGGGAACUGCGUCCGAUACUGGAUGACUUGAGUUCGGGAGAGGGAUGCGGAAUUCCAGGUGUAGCGGUGAAAUGCGUAGAUAUCUGGAGGAACACCGGUGGCGAAGGCGGCAUCCUGGACCGACACUGACGCUGAGGAGCGAAGCCAGGGAGCAAACGGG
rnacentral:rRNA from 1 species